GGGCCCGUAGCUCAGUGGAUUAGAGCAGUAGGCUUCUAACCUAAAGGUCGGGGGUUCAAAUCCCCUCGGGCUCG
rnacentral:tRNA from 1 species